rnacentral:rRNA from 1 species
UACGGAGGGUGCAAGCGUUAUCCGGAUUCACUGGGUUUAAAGGGUGCGUAGGUGGGCUGGUAAGUCAGUGGUGAAAUCUCCAGGCUUAACUUGGAAACUGCCAUUGAAACUAUGUGUCUUGAGUACAUUUGAGGCGGGCGGAAUGUGUCAUGUAGAGGUGAAAUUCUUAGAUAUGACACAGAACACCAAUUGCGAAGGCAGCUCGCUAAACUGUAACUGACGCUGAGGCACGAAAGCGUGGGGAUCAAACAGG